rnacentral:tRNA from 5 species
GCUUGGGUAGCUCAGUUGGUAGAGCAUUCCCCUGAAGAGGGAAGGGUCGCCGGUUCGAUCCCGGCCCCAAGCACAA